rnacentral:rRNA from 1 species
AUUGAACGCUGGCGGCAGGCCUAACACAUGCAAGUCGAACGAGUGGCGGACGGGUGAGUAAUGUCUGGGAAACUGCCUGAUGGAGGGGGAUAACUACUGGAAACGGUAGCUAAUACCGCAUACCAUCGGAUGUGCCCAGAUGGGAUUAGCUAGUAGGUGGGGUAAAGGCUCACCUAGGCGACGAUCCCUAGCUGGUCUGAGAGGAUGACCAGCCACACGGAAACUGAGACACGGUCCAGACUCAAAAGGGAGGCAGAAGUGGAGAAUAUUGAACAAGGGGCGCAAGCCUGAUGCAGCCAUGCCGCGUGUAUGAAGAAGGCCUUCGGGUUGUAAAGUAAUUUCAGCGGGGAGGCGUUACCCGCAGAAGAAGCACCGGCUAACUCCGUGCCAGCAGCCGCGGUAAUAC